AUCGUUUCUCAGCCUUUUGGCUAAGAUCAAGUGUAGUAUCUGUUCUUAUCAGUUUAAUGUCUGAUAGAUCCUAAACUAUAAGAAAACUAGGUGAACAAAGAAUAGUAU
ensembl:snRNA U2 U2 spliceosomal RNA